rnacentral:lncRNA from 1 species
GCCACCUAUUUCUCCAUUAUCCUGAUGAUGAAUGUGUGCAUCGUUUGAGUUAUCAGCAGUUCUUGGUUGGUUCUGAGUUCCUAGUGGUGCCUGUCCUUGACAAAGGAAAGAAAAAAGUUAAAGCUUAUUUUCCAUUGGGAGAGAGUAGCAGUUGGAUCCAUAUCUGGACAGGAAAAGUGUUUUCCAAACAAGGACGUGAAGAAUGGGUAGAAGCUCCAAUAGGAUACCCUGCUGUAUUUGUUAAGGUUGGCUCCCAGGUUGGAGAAACCUUUUUGAAUAAUCUGAGAAGUUUAGGCAUUCUUUAAUAAAGCAUUCAUCAAAGGAUGAACUUUAGAUAUGUAUAACAUAGCAUCCAAGUGAUUUUUCAAUUCUUGCCCCUGAAUUAAUUCGCUUGUAUCGUUGCAAUCAAAGCUAGUGUAAAGAAAUUAGUUGGAAGGAUCUGAAUCACAUAAAUCACAUUCAUUAACCUUCAUAACCGAGAAUGUUAGCUCCUUAGUUUGUUAGGACAGCUUCCGCAUUCAUUUCCAGCAAAUAGCACUACGAAUGAAAUAAAACAUUAGGAAAAUGACACAUAGUUGCCACAUGGGAAACAGUUGUCUACUUCAUUCUGUAUAACUUCUUUUUUUAUCUAAAUAAUAACAUAAUUUAACAAAAAUGCAAAUAUGAUAAACCACUCUAACAAUUUCUUUAGUGGCAUAUUGAGUGGUUAUGGUUUAUGUAAUAGUUUGGUUAAAAAGUUUUACAGACAACGUGAAAAACUUCCCAAGUCUCGUUCAAUAAUCAUUUUUCCUAAAACAUUUUUGACUAGGUGAUGUUGAGGACAGUACUCUUUCAAAAGCCAGACAUAAGAAGUGACAGAUUCUACUUUAAAUAGAAGUUUCAUGUCUUACACCUAGCCAAUUUUAGACUCAUGCUCAUAUUUCUAAAUAUUUGGUUUUAACUGAGCCAAAUGACAUCGUGUAAUUCAUAUAGUCGGACCUGACCUAGUUAGAAAAGGCGUUUGUUGUUAUAGUUGUUGUUGCUCAUGCUUCUGCAUCUAUUUCACCUUUUUAUCACAUCAGAAAAGAUGGCAACUACUCAACAGAAUAGGAAAGCACUUGUCUGAAGUAAACGUUAAGCUAUUUAGAGGGAUCUAACUAAUAGACCUAUCAUGAAAACUAUGUUCUAUGUAACACAAACAAGAAGAAUAAUUUGAAACAUAGUUGGAAGGAAUAGUCUGUCCUCACAACUUACUUCCACCUCACCACAUAUCUGCACAGCUUUCACCAUGUGAUUAUAUUGUGUCUUACAUAGUUUCUGCACACCUACAUUUCUAAUUUAGCCACAUAUCUAAAUAUGUUUCUUGCACGUGACUAGAUUAGCAAGAAACAUUUUUGGUUGUAAAUACUUGUAAUGUCCCUUCUACAAGAAUUCCAAAGAAAUGAGAAUUCUAGAUUUUAUUAUGACCCUCACAUGUAAGAAUUCUUUUGGGACAAUGAGAAAGCAUUGGUUUCCUCUUACACAAAACCAAAACCUGAGUGUUUUAUCAUUCGCUUCCAGAUAUAACUAUAAGAGCCAAUAAACAAGAACACAAAGCUGGUAAGCAAGUUAAUAAGACCUUAAUUAGUAAAGUUUGAGAUCUUAGUGUGUGUUUGGUUUGUUGGAAGCACACACUCCAAGACUGUUAAACGGAGAAGUAUGUGAGAGGGAGCUUCCAACUGAACGGACGAUUGGGAUCACUCAACGAUAAAUCAAACACGCUCUCACUCUCUGGUCAACUUUAAUACAUUAACCUGUGGACAUUUCAAAGUACAAUACUAAAAUCCUCUUUUAUAGCAAGCAAUAAAUAUUUUGUUCUUAAUCUUGAUGGCAUUACCACCACAUCCUUCUUUGAGCAUUAGAUUACCAUUCUGAUCACAUUGAAUUUCAUGGAAAUAUAAAAAAAUUGAUCACUGACAACUUUUCCAAGGAUUAUGGAAAUAUGAUGAGAAAACAAUAGUAAACAGAAGAGUGAUUUCCCAUAUCAAUGAUGAUUUACACAGUCAUAGUUACAGUCAUCAAAGCAUGCACAUGCACUUACACUAGUUUGAAUAAGACGUGCACCGUGUGUAUUCCACUAUCAAGAAAGAAAAAAGAAAAAAAAAACAAGUGACCAUUAACAAUCAAAACAGCUUGGUUUUUAUGUUGGAUGGAUUUGUUAUGUCAUCAAAUAAACAUGUUUCAAAACAUCAACCACUGCAACGAAGAGUACAUGAAUACAUGACCCAGGAACAUAAAAGAGUUUGAGACAAUAUCAUCAUUGCACAAAACUUCUACGAAGUUAACUACAACAAACUAAUCACGUACCUUACCCAAAAUGGGGGAUACAUCAUUCAUUACAAACGAAAAAAUGCAACCCCAUUUCUUUGAUUAGUCUUUUCUCAUUGGAACGCUCAGAAACCAACGCACUGGCAGAGAGAGUUCAAUGUGACUGAACAAUGAACAUAGCAAAUGAGUUCUCUCACCAUUCAUGAGUUAAUGUUCGUGCAAUUAUCUGCGGAAUGAAAAGAAAAGGUGUUUUGUGAAUUGUGCGUGCGUGUGUGUUGAAUAAGGUUGUUGUUAUCGAAUACUUGAGUAGCAUAUUCUCU